UUUAUACUCCCUCCGUUCCAAAUUACUCGUCGCAGAAAUAGAUGUAUCUAGAACUAAAAUACAUCUAGAUACAUCCAUAUCUGCGACAAGUAAUUCGGAAUGGAGGGAGUACUAU
rnacentral:pre_miRNA from 1 species